UACGAAGGGGGCUAGCGUUGUUCGGAUUUACUGGGCGUAAAGCGCACGUAGGCGGAUCGUUAAGUCGGGGGUGAAAUCCUGGAGCUCAACUCCAGAACUGCCUUCGAUACUGGCGAUCUUGAGUCCGGAAGAGGUGAGUGGAACUCCUAGUGUAGAGGUGGAAUUCGUAGAUAUUAGGAAGAACACCAGUGGCGAAGGCGGCUGACUGGACAUGUAUUGACGCUGAGGUGCGAAAGCGUGGGGAGCAAACAGGG
rnacentral:rRNA from 1 species